rfam:Collimonas fungivorans Ter331, complete genome.
CUUCUUCCAUCUGCUGCGGGCAGAUGAAAUGGAUGUGGCAAUCGAUGCCGCCGGCGGUGACGAUUUUGCCUUCGCCGGCGAUGAUCUCGGUGGCGCCGCCGAUCACCAUGGUCACGUCCGGCUGGAUAUCCGGGUUGCCGGCCUUGCCGAUGGCGGCGAUCUUGCCGCCCUUGAUGCCGAUGUCGGCCUUGACGAUGCCCCAGUGGUCGAUGAUCACGGCGUUGGUGAUCACGGUGUCCAUCACGUCCCUAUGCAUGCGUUGCGACUGGCCCAUGCCGUCGCGGAU